rnacentral:tRNA from 1 species
UCCCAGGUGGCUCAGAGGGUAAAGCGUCCGCCUGCAAUGUGGGGGGACCUGGGUUCAAUCCCUGGGUCGGGAA